AUUUGAUAACAAAAUCUUCACGAGAACAGUCGUUAAAUCGCAGCGGAGUGCUCUGAAUGUAUGUGAUUAAAGUAAAGCUGGUUUUAAAUACUGUAGUGAGUCCGGAUCCGGUGUAAACUCCAGUCCGGCGUUAACGGUCGUUGCUGUGGCGGAAAUGUAAACAUUUCGUGAAACAGAAGCCCACGGAGCUAGACAGUUUGUUUUUAAAUAUAAAACCGAGUGUGUUCUACUUAUUGUUUAAUCAAACGUAUUGUUUUCAUGCUCUUUCAAUGACUGUUCUAUACAGCCUUAUUCCGUUUUAAUGACGUUAUUGUGGUAUCUGUGUAGUCCACGACAGUGUUUGUUUAUUCAAACGAAGCGACUUUAGCAAAGAAACACUGACAUUAAUACAAGUGUAAUGGAGAGUUAUGAAGAUUUCAUUCAGAGACACCGUGAGAGUCCAGCUGAUGACGAUGAUGAAGAUGAAGAGUCUGUCAGUAAACCUUCAUCUGUCAUCGUGUUUCAUGGAGUCUGUGUCCUGCCUCCUCUGCUGAGUGAGCGGCAGAGAGACCAGAUGAGACUUCUGAGAGAAACAGUGUUGAGUGUGAUGAAGAGCAGGAGACAGAAGACAUCUGACAGCGAGUUUAAAAGAGAAACAGUGACUGCAGACGUUCAGACGUCCAGCACUGAACACCAGACGAGUGAUGACAUCACACAGAGUCAAGAGAUCUUCACCUGUCCUCCUCUGACAUCAACCGCUCAUGACGCCCAGCCAGCCAAUCAGCCGAGAGCUUUUCCCGUGGAGGAUUCUCUGGAGAAAACGCAGAUCACAGGUGUGUUUCAUGGUGCUGGCACAGCUCGUGGUCACUCCGAUAAACAUCCUCUCAGUGACAUCAGCCACCAGAUGAUGAUGUCAUCAGGGUACGUGACCAAUGAAAACACACAUGUCACCUGUGAUGACUCCAGCUGGGUGGAGAACAACGGAUCCUCUGCAGGCUUCUGUUUAAAUACCACUCGGUCGCCCAGUACAGGAAGUGACAUCAUCAGCCAUGCUCCAGUGGACGGCUCAGCCUUAGAGGAGGAGACCGCAGACUCGGAGCCGUACCGCAUGAGUCUUCAGAACCUUCUGAAGAAAUCUCAGGAUUACCGGCGACGCCAGCGGCUCCUGCGCAGUCAAGCGCCAACUCUGGAGUCCACCGACGAACACGGCCUGUCCGACAAAGAAAACCAGGAAUUCCUUCCCAAUCAGAUUUGGAGGGCGGAGCUCAGCAACGCAAGAGAGAGGAGAAAAGUAAAACUGCAGCACUCCGAUGCAGACACGGAGACGUCAGACGGCCGUCCUGAAGAACAUCACGAUUCUCUCACAGAGGAGUCCACUUCUGCCAAAUCUCUGUACCUCUCCAAACAGAAACCUGUGGCUGUGUGCAGAUCUUCUUCAGCAGCUGGCAGGAAGUUCUCCAGCGUCCCGGCACCCAAGUUCUGCUUGAGCCCUGCACGCAGUAAAAAGGCCUGCGGCGGGGUUCCCGUGCGGAAAACAGCUGUCUGUGUGGAGCGUGAGGAGGAAUCGCUCUCCAGCCGUACGGAUGACGGAGGGGCGCACGUGGACGGCAGCUCACAGCAAACACAGCAAAUCGCCCAGUUAGAGUUCAACUUAUCCAGUCUGAAAGCACUGAUCUCAGAUCUGGAGUCAACGCUCACGUCGUCACGCACAGAGAACAGCAGCUGCACGCUCAUCACACACCCCUCACACAAGCCCUCCGGCGUCCUCAUCGACUCGUCCAAUCACAAACAACCCCAUGACUCUGAAGAGAAGAAACACUGCUCCCUGAUUGGCUCGUCGUUCUGUCAGUCGUAUGACGUAGACGCCCCCUCCAGCCUCUGGACACAGUUGACCCCUGAGACGGGCGCUCAUGAGGGCGUGUCUCGAGCCAAACGCAGACUCCUCAUGAACGCCAUGAGCCCUGAACCACACACAGUGGUGCAGACGUCUGCGCAGCCGCAGUCGGAGGAUCGGGUGAGAGUUCUGUUGGAGGACGAGCGCAGACGACAGCAGGAUUUACUGCAGUCUUUGGCUGUGCGAUACCAGUUUCUGAGGAGCGUGUCCUUCCCUCGUCCCAGCAUGGGCGCACGUCUGGAGGACACCUCGACCUCGUCUGUGUUCACAAGCCCCUCCCGCACACACCACACGUCACGUCAGUCCUGUCUGUCUCUCCCUGCGUCCUGUCGCCCUCUGCUGGCGGCUGCAGUGAAAGGCUUCCUGACCCGAAGACUCCUGCGUACAGAACGUGUGUCACAGCUGGUCAGAACAGUUCAGGACACGCAGCAGUUCCUGCAUCAGACCACCGUCAGAGGAGAUUUCAGCAGCCGACAGGAUCUCAUGCUACAGGAGCGAGUCUCUCUGCAGCUGCGUGCCGCGCGAUACGAGUUCCACAACAUCAUGUUCAACAGCAGCAUCUGUGAGCGCAUGAAGAUGAUUCAUCAGGACAGACAGGUGACCAGAGAGAGACGCUUCAGAGAACACGUGAGGAACAACCUGCUGCUCAUUCAAGAAAUCCACACUCGAUAACAGUAAUGUUGCUCUAUAGAAAUGACUGGACGACGUCUUUACACUGACGCUACCGCGCCGCCAUGUUGGGGAAUAAAUUGAAGGGUUCACUGUCUGCUGCUACCAGAAAAGCUUUAGAACGCAAAAAACUGGCCAUGUGAGUGUCACUAUCACUAUAUCUCACUACAGACACAGCACGGUUUAAAGCACGUCAUAUGUCACAUUUUUAUUUGAGUUUGUCAAAUCUGUAUAUUAUAUCAAAACAACUAAACAUGAUCAAACCAGCUGCAUCAACAUUCAUUCUGAUGAUGAUGAUCUUUCACACGUUCACAUGUCAAGUGUCUUUACUGUCUGCUUAUCAUCUCAAACUUUCACUACACACAACUUAGUAUAACAAUCAUUUAGUUAUUGCAUACUACUGCAAUAUUCACAAUGAUUUGAUAUAUUGUUCAGUCCUACAUGAUUUUCAAUGCCGUCGUGUUGUGCUUUUAUGAAGUAUCAUUUCAAAAGCAGUUAUAUGUAGAAUGGGUGACCUGGAGGACCACCGGCUCUGUGCGAGGUGUGUUUCUCAUCACAGUGUUUUUUUACUUGAAGAAUUUCGUCAACAACCGCCAAUUCAUUUUAUUUAGGUAGUGCUUUUCACAGUUUUGCAUUGUUGCAAAGCAGCUUUCCAUACAAAACUGAAGAGCGGUUGUGAAAAUGACAGUGCUGAUAGAGGGAAUCUUGUUUCUAAAACCCUUAUGUAUGUAUUUAGAAGAAUAAGUAAUAGAUCUCACAGAAUGAGAGAAUGUGUGAUUCCUGACAUCUGUGAUACUGUCACGAUGUGUUUUGUGUCUGGUUUUAGGUUACAGAGGAAAUCUACAGUCAGGUCAAAGUUUUCACCGUCUGGAGACGAGUCAUGGACUCUUGUGCCAAAGAUUUGUCGUGUUUCAAAGAAAACAAGUCCCCGGUGAACACGACC